UGGGUAGUAUCUUAAUAGAGAGUUACACCAAACUAUUAAGCAUUAAAACUUAUAAUACAACUCAUAUCUAUAAUGAAUGAGAUUGAAAU
rfam:Clostridium puniceum strain DSM 2619 CLPTN_contig000205, whole genome shotgun sequence.